rnacentral:rRNA from 1 species
UACGAAGGGGGCUAGCGUUGUUCGGAUUUACUGGGCGUAAAGCGCACGUAGGCGGAUCGUUAAGUCGGGGGUGAAAUCCUGGAGCUCAACUCCAGAACUGCCAUUGAAACUGUUAGACUUGAGUACGAGAGAGGUGAGUGGAAUUCCCAGUGUAGAGGUGAAAUUCGUAGAUAUUGGGAAGAACACCAGUGGCGAAGGCGGCUCACUGGCUCGUAACUGACGCUCAGGCGCGACAGCGUGGGGAUCAAACAGG